GCGAAGGUGGCGGAAUUGGUAGACGCGCUAGUUUCAGGUGUUAGUGUCUUAACGGACGUGAGGGUUCAAGUCCCUCUCUUCGCACCA
rnacentral:tRNA from 1 species